UGCUAAGGAAAGGAGUUUAACCUUUAUUUAAGCAUUU
rnacentral:tRNA from 2 species